GGCGACGGCUUCUUUGGACAUGGAUUUCGGGUAGGAGACGUGGUGCUCCAUUAUCGACUGGAACAACUCGUCCUCGUCGUCCCCGUCAAAAGGCGGCUUCACAUCGAAGCACGAAAGCGGACGUGAAGAUCCAGAGCCACUUCCUUCAUCAAGGGUGCCGCGCCCCUGCUAUCAGGUCAAAGCCAAAAGCCGCUUAUCCUCACAAGGGUCACGGAAAAGCCGGAGCCUAUCCCAGAUAGCUUCGGGCGAAAGGCGGACUACACCCCUGAACCGGUCGCCCGUCAGUCACAGGGCAGAUAUCGACGCCGUCCCUAACCGGGAAUCGAUCCCACGCUGCCCGCACCAAAGUCAGCAGUUCCAACCAUGUGCUACCUUCCUGUGGAGAUCUUUAUUUAGUUUUACAGUACUUCUAUUCAAUCACGCCCUGGAGGAACAAGCCGAAAUCAUAUCAGCAAACAUGAAAGCUGCAACGGGAACUCACCCAAAACCGUUUGUCUUGGACUUGGACUAUUUUGGAAUGGAAAACUGAGCCGGGUAGAGCAGAGUCAAGGACUGGAAUGGAAAAGCUUCAUUUCAAGUGGCAGGUUCUAUCCUUUGCAACGUCCACAAUGAGGCAAACGUGAACAUGGGAGUCUACGCUGCAUUAAACGUAUGAAGGCCGGACUAAAGGAGGUAUCUUCACCUGCAGAACAGGUCUGGAAACACACCCAGAAUACACAAGAGCCACCUUUGUCACACGAGCGUCCACACAGAUCCUCGCUUACGGCGCCGGUUCCACGGGUUAGGUGAAAACCCACGGCAUGAGCGACACUUGUGAAUUGGAACCAACGCAAGCGCCGUAUCCAAAUGACGACAAUGCCCGCUUUUGAUUGGCACGGUCAGAGAGCGGCACGAUGAGAGGACGACGGGUCGCGGUGACGCAAAGCAGACCCGAGGCCCGUUUGAGACAACAAACGGGUUCUUACCUUGGCACUGGAAACCUUGCUUGCCGAAGCCCCUGCGGACACAAGAGAAG